rnacentral:rRNA from 1 species
AGAGUUUGAUCCUGGCUCAGAAUCAACGCUGGCGGCGUGCCUAACACAUGCAAGUCGAACGCGAAAGGGGCUUCGGCCCUGAGUAGAGUGGCGAACGGGUGAGUAACGCGUGGGUGACCUACCUUCGAGUGGGGGAUAACGUCCCGAAAGGGACGCUAAUACCGCAUGACAUCCUGCCUUUGAAGAGGUGGAGAUCAAAGCUGGGGAUCGCAAGACCUGGCGCUUGGAGAGGGGCCCGCGUCCGAUUAGCUUGCUGGUGGGGUAAUGGCCUACCAGGGCUGCGAUCGGUAGCUGGUCUGAGAGGAUGAUCAGCCAGACUGGGACUGCGAACGGCCCAGACUCCUACGGGAGGCAGCAGUUAGGAAUUUUGGGCAAUGGGCGAAAGCCUGACCCAGCAACGCCGCGUGGGUGAUGAAGGCCCUCGGGUCGUAAAGCCCUUUUCCCAGGGAAGAUGAUGACGGUACCUGGGGAAUCAGCCCCGGCUAACUACGUGCCAGCAGCCGCGGUAAUACGUAGGGGGCAAGCGUUGUCCGGAUUUAUUGGGCGUAAAGCGCUCGCAGGUGGUUGGUCGCGUCGUGCGUGAAAGACCCCGGCUCAACUGGGGAGGGUCGUGCGAUACGGGCUAACUGGAGGCCAGUAGGGGGAUGCGGAAUUCCGGGUGUAGUGGUGGAAUGCGUAGAGAUCCGGAGGAACACCAGCGGCGAAGGCGGCAUCCUGGACUGGUCCUGACACUCAGGAGCGAAAGCGUGGGGAGCGAUCCGGAUUAGAUACCCCGGUAGUCC